UUAAUUUUAAAAUUUGAUGGACAAAGCUUACAAAGAGUUCGAAAAUAACAAUAAGAAAUCAAUUUACUGAAAGUACCGGUAUAUUGUGAUUGCGCGCAGCGGUCAAAUACCUCCUGGGGUACUCUACACCAUAGAUUUAUAAUACUCUAGAUUGCGCCUUACGAUCUUAAAAUGGGUGACGGUUGCGACAGAGAUAAAUGAGCCUAUUUGGUCGGUAGUCUCUUUCUAAUUCAAGGGGAGUAUCGACGACGUCACUAUCCUACUCGGUCGUCGAGUAUUUUAGAUGGUUUGACAGUUCGAGCGGAUGGCGACAAGAACUGGUCGUUUGUCUUCGGACGUGGAUAAUCCUGGUUCGAAUCCCAUACCAAUCUUUACUUUUUUUAUUUUUAAUUUAAUCAAUAUUGUGUUUAUUAGAUAUUAUUACAUCUCUAAAAUAAAUCUAUGCAAAGAAAUAUAUAACAAAUAAGAAAAACUGUGUAGGUACCUAUAGAUUUUUAAAAAUAUAAAAGCCAAUGUUAUUUUUUUUAAUAAGUUAAUGGUAGAAUAGUACCUAUAAAGUAAUUAAAAAUAUUCGUAAAAGAUUACCAAUAAUUAAUAUCAACAUAAUCAUACCAUCGAUUUAUUAAUUGAAUCGGUCAUUUCAAAAACAACACGAGUCACAUAUUCCUAAUUUUACAGAAGAGCAAAGAAAACUUAACUAUAUAGUCGAAAGAUGGAUGAAAUGGAUGACAUCAAAAUUCAGAGUUAUAUUGUAGUUUUGUUCCUAAUGUUUUUACUGGACUGGUGACGUUUUUUGCACACAACGUUUAUCUUAAAGGAGUCUAUUCCUCUCAAAAAGUUAGUUUCUCAAAAUUGUGGACUUUGCUGUUUUUGAAAUGACCGAUUCAAUUAUAAGUAAUUAGACAUUAUUUUUAUUUAUGAAACUAUUGUUACAAUUUUUAAAAAAAGUAGAAGCAAAACAAAUAAUAUUCACAUUCGAAUGAGGACGAAUUUAUAUAAAUAACGAAUGACUUUUAUUUUACUAUGCAGUUCACAAAUAUGUGUUCCAAUAUUAACUUACUAUACAUAGGUACAUUUAUUAUCUGCUAGAUUUACUUGGGUCCAUUUUUCAGAUGUAAAAAUAUCUAAUAAACGCAAUAUUGAGUAAAUAAAAAUAAAAAAGGUAAGGUUGGUAUGGGAUUCGAACCACAAUUAUCCACGUCCGAAGACCAAAGACCAUUUCUCGUCACCAUCCGCUCCAACUGUCAACACAUAUUACUCGAUAAAGUGGCAUAGUCACGUCGUCGAUAUUCCCCUUAAAUUAAAAAGAGACUACCGACCAAAUAGGCUCAUUUAUCUCUGUCGCAACCGUCACCCAUUUUAAGAUCGGAGGACGCAAUCUAGAGUAUUAUAUAUCUAUGCUCUACACUCUAAUACCCGAAAGUUAGGUUUGGACCGAAGGGUUAGGUCUUCCUCCUUUGAAAAUUGUACUGUAUAAUAUAUAAUAUAUAUAAUAUAUUAAUUUUUUAAUUAAUUAAUUUUUUAAAAUUAGCAAAAUUUCUGUUCAAAACGAAUAAGAAGUAAAUAAAACUUAGACACCCUGUUGAGAACCCUGACCGCUGCGCGCAAUUACAAUCUGCCCGAAAUUACAUAACUCGUUAAUAUUACAUAAUAAAAGAUAAUGAAAAUGAAAUAAUGAAGCGUUUUACAUGUCUGCUCAUAUGGGGACAAGGAAAGAACUAACCAUAAAAAUACUGGGGGGUCUAAAUGGGGCUAGUAGAAGGAACAGACACGCAAAAAUUCAUGCGAACGACAGCUCAUUUGUUGUGCGGUGGCUGGGUCGUAGAUUCGUUAAGGGGGGUAGGGGGGUGUUAAGAAGACUAAACUACCAUAACCAAAUACAAAAGGAUACUUACUCAGACUAGAGGAUUUUUCUACUAUUUAACAAAAAGGACGCCGUUCGAAAUAAAUCCUCUGGUUCACAUAUGGGUACUUACAGGACAUUUUUCUUACUUACGGGUACCAAAUGGGGGGACAAUCAUCAUCGAUUCCUCUAUGGGGUUAAACUGGGCUACUUUAUCUCAUUUUGUUGGCCUCUAUGCCAUUUCUUUCUUCUACUCUACAACUUACAUCAUUUGUAUUAGAAUUUAGUUAAAAUUUUUCCAAAAUAGGGGUUGCAGAAAUAAAAUUAUAGAUACACUCACAAAACGUUUAUUUAAAACUCUACUGUAAUCUUACUCCAAAAAAAAAAACAAUAUUUAAUUUAACCUUUCAAUAUGAAGUUUAUUACAAACUUGACUACUAAAAAAAAACAAAACUUUUGACUGGUUUAACAUUUCACAAACAAAACAAAUACAAAUAAACUUGUCGGGCAGUAUAUGUCAAAUGAAAAUUUGACCCACUUAUUUUUAACACAAAAAUUAGACUUUGACAGAUGUCAUAAGUCACUGCCAUUUUGUUUUAUCCAUGCCCCGAGAACUCUAAUAAAAAACAUGUAAUCGUAUUUAUUUUCCUUCCAUUUUGCCAGAGGCGCUGAUGUCGGCAUUGUGAUUGGUGGAACAUGACUUUUGACAAAUCCUGCGCUAUCUGUGAAUCUGUGUUCAGUGUUCGUGUUCGUUCGUUCGUUGUCGUUCAGUUAUUUUCAUGUUAUUUUAUAUGGUCGGUUAUGUGUUGUGUUUGUGUCACCAUAAAAAGCUGAUAUUCAUGCAGUCGUGUUUUUUGAUAUUUUUGUUAUUUUGUAAUCGUGUAUCUUUUUAAAGGUCUAAUGGCUCCGUUCAGCUGUUGUGUGCAGACGGUGGAAAAGUUCAACAAGUAAACAUUUAUUUAAUCCAAAUUAAAUACUCAUAUUUCUAUGUAAAAUGUCACAUUAUUUUAUAAAUAAAUAAGUAAGAAACAAAA